rnacentral:rRNA from 1 species
UUAAAAAAUCAAGUUGUACUGAACAAGCCUGAUCCCAUCUGAUCUCGGAAGCUAAGCAGGGUUGGGCCUGGUUCAUACUUGGAAUGGGAGACUACCUAGGAAGACCAGGUGCUAUAUGCA